rnacentral:rRNA from 1 species
UGGGGAAUAUUGCACAAUGGGCGCAAGCCUGAUGCAGCCAUGCCGCGUGUGUGAAGAAGGCCUUCGGGUUGUAAAGCACUUUCAGCGGGGAGGAAGGCGUUAAGGUUAAUAACCUUGGCGAUUGACGUUACCCGCAGAAGAAGCACCGGCUAACUCCGUGCCAGCAGCCGCGGUAAUACGGAGGGUGCAAGCGUUAAUCGGAAUUACUGGGCGUAAAGCGCACGCAGGCGGUCUGUCAAGUCGGAUGUGAAAUCCCCGGGCUCAACCUGGGAACUGCAUUCGAAACUGGCAGGCUAGAGUCUUGUAGAGGGGGGUAGAAUUCCAGGUGUAGCGGUGAAAUGCGUAGAGAUCUGGAGGAAUACCGGUGGCGAAGGCGGGCCCCUGGACAAAGACUGACGCUCAGGUGCGAAAGCGUGGGGAGCAAACAGG